GAUGAACGCUGGCGGCGUGCCUAAUACAUGCAAGUCGAGCGAACAGACGAGGAGCUUGCUCCUCUGACGUUAGCGGCGGACGGGUGAGUAACACGUGGAUAACCUACCUAUAAGACUGGGAUAACUUCGGGAAACCGGAGCUAAUACCGGAUAAUAUAUUGAACCGCAUGGUUCAAUAGUGAAAGACGGUUUUGCUGUCACUUAUAGAUGGAUCCGCGCCGCAUUAGCUAGUUGGUAAGGUAACGGCUUACCAAGGCAACGAUGCGUAGCCGACCUGAGAGGUGGAUCGGCCACACUGGAACUGGAAACCGGUCCAGACUCCUACGGGAGGCAGCAGAAGGGAAUCUUCCGCAAUGGGCGAAAGCCUGACGGGGCAACGCCGCGUGGGUGAUGAAGGUCUUCGAAUCGUAAAACUCUGUUAUUAGGGAAGAACAAAUGUGUAAGUAACUAUGCACGUCUUGACGGUACCUAAUCAGAAAGCCACGGCUAACUACGU
rnacentral:rRNA from 1 species